ensembl:snoRNA
AUCCUUUUGUAGUUCAUGGACGUGAGGACUGGGUGUUCAUGUGCAUGUGUGACAUGUGCCACCCUCGAACCUUGUUACAGAUGUUGGCCCAUUACCCAUCUGACA